rnacentral:misc_RNA from 1 species
CUCAGCGAAAGUUAUUUUAAGGAAAAUUACGAUCAGCUAACCUUUCAGCGAAUCUUUAACCUUUUUCGUAUCUUUUACAUUUUAUUCGCAAAGACUUUCUUAAUACAGAAACCCAUAUUGACAAACCAAUCAGCCUUAUAACUGCUACCUCUGGUUUUGUUUCGAGGAAUGUAAUGACCUGUUUCACCAAGUAAUCGAUUUCAUCGUCGCGUACGCUGCCAAAGAAAGCCCGAUAAACAUCAACUUCGAUCAA